CCUACGGGAGGCAGCAGUGAGGAAUAUUGGUCAAUGGGCGCUAGCCUGAACCAGCCAAGUAGCGUGUAGGAUGACUGCCCUAUGGGUUGUAAACUUCUUUUAUAUGGGAAUAAAGUGCAGUAUGUAUACUGCUUUGCAUGUACCUUAUGAAUAAGGAUCGGCUAACUCCGUGCCAGCAGCCGCGGUAAUACGGAGGAUCCGAGCGUUAUCCGGAUUUAUUGGGUUUAAAGGGAGCGUAGGCGGGUUGUUAAGUCAGUUGUGAAAGUUUGCGGCUCAACCGUUAAAUUGCAGUUGAUACUGGGAUCCUUGAGUACAGUAGAGGUAGGCGGAAUGCGUGGUGUAGCGGUGAAAUGCAUAGAUAUCACGAAGAACUCCGAUUGCGAAGGCAGCCUGCUGGACUGUAACUGACGCUGAUGCUCGAAAGUGUGGGUAUCGAACAGGAUUAGAUACCCUAGUAGUC
rnacentral:rRNA from 1 species